rnacentral:lncRNA from 1 species
AGCGCCUUUGGGCGGCGCCGGGCGUGGUGGGCCGGGAAGUAUGGCGGCUGCUCGAACGCCGCGCGGCGGAGGCCAUUAAGGCGUGGACGGCCCGGGAAGGCGGCCUAGGGACGCAAGCAGGCUCGGCCGCCUCUUUCGGCCACGGAGCCGCGCAGAUCCGGUUCCCGGUUGACCACUCUGUCGCCAUUGGGCGAGACCUACCUAGUCCUGACGACAACGGACAAAGGCCUUAAGGGGCCUGAAAGCAACCUCCAGUCCUGCAAGCUUCAUUCCUGAAUGGUAGAAAGCAGUCUUCAGCCUGAGACCCAUCCCUAGACUCUAUGGCACAAAGAGGCACUACAGAAAAUCCCAGAAUUUAUUCCGACUGAAGCAAUAUGCAACUGGCAAAACUGGCAGCUGAAAGGAUCCUGAAUCAGAAGUUUACUUUAUCAGGACACACAACUUAACUUGACAACCAGAGUCUUACAUUUAAAAAUACCUGAAUAAAACUCAUUCACUAACUCAGAAGAAAUUUGAAAGACUAUGAAAAUCUUUGAAUACAAUGUAGAAGUUUUUACUCCAAAACAGUGAAAAGGAGAGAGAGUAGAAGAGGAGAGAAGAGAGGAAGGAAGAAAAGGAGAGAAGAUGAGAAAAAAAAGCAAGUAGUGUCUUAAAUGGGAGAAAAAGUGAUAAGGAAAUAGUUUAAUUUAUUAAAGUCAAAGUUCAAUAAAAGUAAAUUAACUGCUUUAAUAUGUAAAGUAUUUUAACAAAUGAAUCACAAAAGGCUGUGAAGUUAAUUAUGGAUCCUCAAAAUGCAUAUUUGAAAAGAAUUGUCUACUUUGGAUUAGAAAUACUUAAUAUUUAUUAUUGUAGUACCAGAAUCCUCAUCUUUACUCAAGUAAUUCCCUAGGCUUUUAAUAUAAGCAAUAAAAAUUCUAAUACAUUGCUGUUUCUGAGAUUAAAAUAAAAUCCAGUAGUUUUGAAUCAGUCAGAAACAAAAUCAAAUACCUCUUAGAUUUAAUUGUGUGGGUAUUAUCUUAAAGAGAAGCAGGGUGACGCAUUGAAAAGACUAUAUUUUUUCAGCAGCAAACCUUGGUUUAAAUGUGCUACUUGUUAUGUAAAAAUUGAAAGAAAAAAGAAAACAAUUUUCUUUGGUUAACAAAUGUGAAUUUCAUUUAUUUAUCUGAAAAAAUUACAAUAAUAAAACAUAUGUUUGUUACCUAUGUAUAUGUAUAUGUGAAUAUAUAUAUAAACACACAUAUAUACCUGUGUGUAUCAGACAGAAUUUGUUUCAUGUAUAGACAGAAGUUUGUAUAUAUAAAAACAAAAAUUUUAUUCAAUAAUAUGUUAUUUAAAAUUAAAAUUGAUUGUGAUUUGUA